GGCACGCCUGCACGCCGCCAGGCUGGAGUUCCCCGAGUACCAUCAUGUCGGGUUGCCCGCUGAGCUGCUGCAGGAGGUGCCGGUUCUGCGCGUGCGCGAAGGCCAUCGCCUGCUCGCCAGGGGCCAGCAAUGCUGCCUCUGCCUCACGCCAUACCUGGUGCGGCAGUGCGUGCGGGCGCUGCCAUGCGGCCACCAGUUCCACUCGCAGUGCCUGGCGCGCUGGCUGCUCGACACGUCCGCCACCUGCCCCAUAGACGGCACGCCCGUCAGGCACGACCUGCUGCGGAA